rnacentral:sRNA from 1 species
CCACUCCACCUUUGUGAACCAAUCUUGUUGCUUCGGGGCGACCCUGCCGCUUCGGGGCGGCGCCCGGAGCCAUCAAACACUGCAUCAUUGCGUCGGAGUUAAAGUAAAUGAAACAAAACUUUCAACAACGGAUCUCUUGGUUCCAGCAUCGAUGAAGAACGCAGCGAAAUGCGAUAAGUAAUGUGAAUUGCAGAAUUCAGUGAAUCAUCGAAUCUUUGAACGCACAUUGCGCCCUCUGGUAUUCCGGGGGGCAUGCCUGUUCGAGCGUCAUUUCACCACUCAAGCCUGGCUUGGUAUUGGGCGUCGCGGCUCCGCGCGCCUUAAAGUCUUCCGGCUGAGCUGUCCGUCUCUAAGCGUUGUGGCAACUAUUCGCUUCGGAGGCCGGGUGGCCGCGGCCGUUAAAUCUUUCACAAGG